rnacentral:RNase_P_RNA from 1 species
CCAGCAGGACGUUCUAUCGCUCCUUGAGCUACGGCGACGUUGGUUGAGGGGAGGAAAGUCCGGGCAGCAAAGAGCACCAGACUUCCGGGAGGGAGAUGUUCGUGAGGGCAUAGACAGCGGGGAAGAAAAUAACCGCCCCGUUCCGAUUCGUCGGGUGGGGUAAGGGUGAGAAGGUGAGGUAAGAGCUCACCGGUUCCGGUGGCGACACCGGUUGCCGCCCGCCUUCUGGGCUGAAAGACCAUGUAUACCGGCUGUUAAGGGCUGCUCGCCCGAUGCCGGGGGGUAGGUCGAGUAGAUAAAUGAUAGAGCUCCCGGAUUUGGCCCCAAGUGGGACAACCGGGAUACAGAACCCGGCUUACAGACCGGCUGGAAAC